UGCCCAGCAACUCCUAUCCCUACCUCCUCGCGGUACUGGCCGGUGUACGAGUAACCUUAGGGAAGAUCGGGUAACCAACCCCCGGUGGGAACUUUGGUCGUAUGCUGACAGGGAAGG
rnacentral:ribozyme from 1 species